rnacentral:tRNA from 1 species
UAGCUCAAUUGGUAGAGUGCUUGCCUCGCAUGCACAAGGCCCUGGGUUCAAUCCCCAG